rnacentral:rRNA from 1 species
AAUCCUUUAACGAGGAUCUAGCGGAGGGCAGGUCUGGUGCCAGCAGCCGCGGUAAUUCCAGCUCCGCAGGUGUAUAUCUAUGCUGCUGCGGUUAAAAAGCUCGUAGUUGGAUCUGCGUGCUCGGAACUGGUUGGCUCACUGAGUUCAAACUGGUCUCCGGCGCUUUAUUGGCUGGUUUUCCCUUGAUGCUCUUAACCGGGUGUCUUGGGUGGCUAGCACGUUUACUUUGAAAAAAUUAGAGUGCUCAAUACAGGCGUAAAGCCUUGAAUAGUGGUGCAUGGAAUAAUAGAAUAGGACCUCGGCUCUAUUUUGUUGGUUUUCGGAACGCGAGGUAAUGAUUAAGAGGGACAGACGGGGGCAUUCGUAUUGCGACGUUAGAGGUGAAAUUCUUGGAUCGUCGCAAGACGGACGACUGCGAAAGCAUUUGCCAAGAAUGUUUUCAUUAAUCAAGAACGAAAGUUAGAGGUUCGAAGGCGAUCAGAUACCGCCCUAGUUCUAACCGUAAACGAUGCCAACUAGCGAUUCGCAGGCGUUAAACAACGACCUUGCGGGCAGCUUCCCGGAAACGAAAGUGUUCGGGUUCCGGGGGAAGUAUGGUUGCAAAGCUGAAACUUAAAGGAAUUGACGGAAGGGCACCACCAGGAGUGGAGCCUGCGGCUUAAUUUGACCCAACACGGGAAAACUCACCCGGCCCGGACACCGUAAGGAUUGACAGAUUGAGAGCUCUUUCUUGAUUCGGUGGGUGGUGGUGCAUGGCCGUUCUUAGUUGGUGGAGCGAUUUGUCUGGUUUAUUCCGAUAACGAACGAGACUCUGGCCUACUAAAUAGUGGGCGGAUUCUUUCUGUCCGCAACACUUCUUAGGGGGACAAGCGGUGUUCAGCCGCACGAGAUUGAGCAAUAACAGGUCUGUGAUGCCCUUAGAUGUCCGGGGCUGCACGCGCGCUACACUGAAGGAAUCAGCGUGCUUUCUGACCUUGCCCGAAAGGGCUGGGUAACCCGAUGAAAAUCCUUCGUGAUUGGGAUAGGGACUUGCAAUUAUUUCCCUUGAACGAGGAAUUCCCAGUAAGUGUGGGUCAUAAGCUCGCGUUGAUUACGUCCCUGCCCUUUGUACACACCGCCCGUCGCUGCCCGGAACUGAGCCGUUUCGAGAAGAACAGGGACCGUCGUUGAAGGGCCUUAACGGGCUUUUCUCUGAUAGAAACUGUU